GUUGUGGUGGUGGUGGUGGUGUUGGUGGAGGUGGAGGUGGAGGUAGUAGAGUUAGAUACAGAGAUAUAGGUGGGGUCAUUUUUAAAAAUUAAUGAUGAUAUUUUGGGAAUUAAAAUUUUUUAUCUGUGCUUCUUGUAAAAGCAAUUAGAGUAUGCUUUUAAAAGCUGCUGUCAAAUAUCCAUCGCUUAAACCAAAAACUUUAAACUGCUAAACUUCAAAUUGAAGCAGAUUUUAGGGGAAAAAAGGCAAUCCCAAAUCACUUAAUCUGCUCAACAAACGCUUUUUUCAACAGCAUUGCAUUGCGAUUUGCGUCGAGACAAAUGUGUUGUGUGGAUACUGGAAAGGAGAGCGUGAAAGAAAUGGCACCGUUGAAAGCUUUGGAGGCAGAGUACCCAAUACUCGACCCCAAUUUCCAGGCCUUUUGCGCCUCUCACGGUAUUUUCUCAGUGGAAGAUUUCCUGAUUCAUGACCUCUAUGAAUUAGCUGCAUUUGCAGAACAACAGCCUACAUCUGAGAAACUAAAGCAGGGCAUUACUCAGGUCCUUUCUAUUAUUGAUACUCAGCAUCAACCAUGGUUGAAUGGUAUGGAGCUUUUAGAUGAUGCUCUAUAUAACAAGCAUGUUCUGUCAACCGGGUGUGAAGGAAUUGAUUUGUUACUUGGGGGCGGAUUACGUGAGGGACAAUUAACUGAACUUGUUGGGCCAUCUUCUUGUGGUAAAACACAAGUUUGCCUACUUGCUGCCUCAAAUGUUGCAACGAAGCACAUGGGUAAUGUUGUAUACCUGGACACAGGCAACUCUUUCUCACCCCAACGAAUUGCCCAGUUUGUUGGUCAUAUCGCUGGCCGUGCCUUUGAUGAGGCUGGAAAAAGAAUUUUUCAGAGGAUAAUGAACGGCAUUGUAUGCCAUUCUGUGUUUGACAUCUUUACAAUGUUCAAUGUGUUACAUCGGCUAGUGAUCAAUUUUCCAUCUCAGCUGCAGAAAGGAGGGCAGGUCCGGAUGCUUAUUGUUGAUUCGAUCUCUUCACUAAUUACCCCAAUUCUUGGGAACAGUGGUUCACAGGGACGCGCCUUGAUGAUAUCUGCUGGGUAUAUGUUAAAGAAAUUAGCACAUGAGCAUAAUGUUGCGGUACUGGUGACCAAUCACACAGUGGGUGGGGAAAGAGGUAUUCCAAAACCCGCUCUUGGACAGACCUGGAAGAGCAUCCCACAUGUGAGGCUUCUACUUUCUGGUGAUCAUGGAAACAAUGUCCGGAGUAUUUCAGUGCUAAGACACCCAUCUAUGGCUUCUAGCAAGGCUGCAAAGUUUUCGAUUUAGAGGAACAGCAUGGUUUCUUCAAUUUGUACUUGCCACUCUACACGAAAAGCUGGGACAAAGAUGAAAAAUGGAGGAGGUUUCGUAUAAAUUUUGCUUGAUUUGUUGGAAAAAGGGAGCGUAGAGGGUGAGGUGGUGAUACUUGCAAGAGUUCAAAGCUCUAAUUACGGAUUUCUUCACAGCUGGUACAGAUACAAGCGCCAUUUCAAUGAAGUGGGCGCUAGCAGAGCUCAUCAACCACCCAAAUGUGCUUAAGAAAGAGGGAGAGGAGAUUAAUCGAGUCGUUGGAAAUAAAUGAUUAGUCGUAAAAUUGGACAGUCCAAAACUUCUAUACAUUCCAAGCCAUCUGUUUGUAUCCAGUUUUGAUAAAUGGACCAAAAAUGGUUUAAUUUUCUAAAAAGAAUAUUUUAAGAAGAUCUAGGCCCAUCAACAUCUAUCUUUUCCUCAAAACUAGAGGGCCCUCGUUUUCAUCAUGGGCUUUCAGUAUAAAAUAAGUUACUCUAAAGCCCAAAAUUAUGAAGCCUAGACUUUUGAGUCAUACUAAAGU